rnacentral:rRNA from 1 species
AAAAUGGAGAGUUUGAUCCUGGCUCAGGAUGAACGCUGGCGGUCUGCUUAACACAUGCAAGUCGAACGGGACCUUUCGGGGUCUAGUGGCGGACGGGUGAGUAACGC